rnacentral:lncRNA from 1 species
ACUGGUGGGAGCUUGGAAGGAGGGUAGAAGGGAGAAAGAAGCUGAUUUUAUUUCUCCUUCUGUUGAAGUCUCUGGCAGUGGCAGCAGUAGCAGCAGUGGCAGCAGCUGCGGCAAUAGCAGUAGCAGCGGCAGUAGGCCCUGAAAGCAGCAGAUCUCACCUGCAUUGGAGGAUGAGACGCCACAUGAAGAAGAAAGAAGACGCCACAGACAGCAGCGCAGUACCACCUUCCAGAGAUGUGAGUGUGACCGUCUUUGACCUUCUAGCCCAGCUGCUUUCCCUGAAUGCAAUGCAUGAGCAGGCCAGGCAAAACUAGAGAGGGAAGCUGCCCAGCUAACCCACAGAAUUAUGAGAGAUAAAAAAUCAUUGUCUUAAGCCACUAAGUCUGUUAUGCAGCAAUAUAUAGCAUUCAUUCAACUUUUGUCUCAUGAAUACUCUCAUUUCUUUUAUAAGUUCUUUUGUGGUUCAAAUUAGCUCAAAUCAGUUUCUGAUGCUUAUGACCAAAUGCCCCUAUGUGAUAGAUUUUGAGGGGUUAAGAAGCUUGCUCGGAUCACACAGCGGUAAGUAGCAGCACUUCAUCUUUAACCCACCUCUGGCCCACUCCCUUUCCAUAGGUCCUUGUUGCCUCCCUCCCUAAUCCCUUCCAGUCUAGUUUCCUCACUCAUUUUAGCAUCUUGAAGAUGCCUGACCUUUUGUAACAGGCACUUAGAAGAGGCAAUAAUCAAGCUGUGAGCUGGAAUACUGGGUUUCUCAUCCAAUAACCAGGUUGGCAGGUUGGUAACCAUACAAGGGACUUUUCAAACUGGAGAAUUAGUGUGCUGAGCACAAAGUGGUGAGUAUUUUGAGAGUUACUGAAAUAUAAUUGACAUAACAAUAAAAAUACAAUAUUUAAGUGCAUGUAUUUCAAGUGUACGAUUUGACAAGUUUGGUUAUAUUAUAUACACCUACGAAACCAUCACCACAAUUAAGAAAAUGAGCAUAGCUAUCACACACAAAAGUUUCCUUGUGCCCCUUGGUAAUUCCUCCCUCUCUCCUGCCCACAUCUCUCCUUUUCCCAGGCAAUCCCUGAUCUGAUUUCUGCCGCUAUCAAUUCGUUUGCAUUUCCUAGAAUUUUAAAUAACUGAAAACAUACAUUAAGAACUCUUUUUCUCUGGCCGAGUAUGGUGGCUCACGCCUGUAAUCCCAGCACUUUGGGUGGCCAAGGCGGGCAGAUCACCUGAGGUCAGGAGUUCGAGACCACCCUGGCCAACGUGGUGAAACCCUGUCUCUACUAAACAUACAAAAAUUAGCCAGGCAUGGUAAUGGGCAUCUGUAAUCCCAGCUACUCGCGAGGCUGAGGCAGGAGAAUUGCUUGAACCUGGGAGACAGAGGUUGCAGUGGGCUGAGAUCACGCCACUGCACUCCAGCAUGGACAACAGAGCGAGACUCCGUCCCCAAAAAAGAAAAAAAAAAAGAACUUUUUUUUCUCCAGCUUCUCCCACUUAGCAUAAUUAUGUUGAGAUUCAGCCAUGUUUUCCUGUGGAUCAAUAAUUUAUUUCUUUAUAUUGCCAAGUGGUAUUCCAUCGUAUGUAUAUACCAUAGUUUGUUUAUCCAUUCAACCACUGAAAGACAUUAGGGUUGUUUUCUGUUUUGGGUUAAUAAAACAAAGCUUCUGUGAACAUUUAUCUACAAGUCUUUGUGUGGAUAUAAGUUUCCAUUUCUCUUAGGUAAAUAUCUAGGGUCAUAAAAUAAGUAUAUACCUAAAUUUUGAAGAAACUACCAAACUAUUUUACAAAAUGGUUGUAUUAUUUUACCUUUUUGCCAGCCAUAUAUGAGAGUGUCAAUUCCUUCACAUUCUUGUCAAAACUUGAUGUGUUCAGUCUUUUUAAUUUUGACCAUUCUAAAAGCAUGUAAUGGGGCCGGGCACAGUGGCUCACACCUGUAAUCCCAGCACUUUGGGAGGCCGAGGCGGGCAGAUCACGAGGUCAGGAGAUCGAGACCAUCCUGGCUAACAUGGUGAAUAAUACUAAAAAUACAAAAAAUUAGCCGGGCAUGGUGGUGGAUGCCUGUAGUCCCAGGUACUCAGGCGGCUGAGGCAGGAGAAUGGCCUGAACCCAGGAGGCAGAGCUUGCAGUGAGCUGAGAUUGCGACACUGCACUCCAGCCUAGGUGACAGAGCGAGACUCUAUCUAAAAAAACAAAACAAAAAUGAAAAAAAAAAACACACAAAAACAUGUAAUGGUAUCCCAUUGUGGUUUUAACUCACAUUACUGUCAGAGGCAUUGGAACCAGAGUGACUCCAUCUUGAGCAGAGGCUAGAUAAAAUAAAGCUGAGACCUUCUGGGCUGCAUUCCCAGGAGGUUAGGCAUUCUUAGUCACAAGAUGAGAUAGGAAGUUGGCACAAGUUACAGGUCACAAAGACCUUGCUGAUAAAACUGGAUGCAGUAAAGAAGCUGGCCAAAACCCACCAAAACUAAGAUAGUGAUGAAAGUGACCUCUGGUUGUCCUUACUGCUCAUUAUAUGCUAAUUAUAAUGCAUUAGCAUGCUAAAAGACACUCCCACCAGUGCCAUAACAGUUUACCAGUGCCAUGGCAACAUCAGGAAGUUACCCUAUAUGGCCUGAAAAGGGGAGGAACCCUCAGUUCCAGGAAUUGCCCACCUCUUUCCUAGAAAACUCAUGAAUAAGUCACCCCUUGUUUAGCAUAAAAUCAAGAAGUAACAAUAAGUAUAAGCAGCUGAGCGGCCCAUGCUGCUGCUCUGUCUAUGGAGCAGCCAUUCCUUUAUUCCUUCACUUUCUUUGUUUUUUGUUUUUUGUUUUGUUUUUUUGUUUGUUUUGAGACAGAGUCUCACUGUGACACCUAGUUUGGACUGCAAUGGCGCGAUCUUGGCUCACUGAAACCUCCGCUUCCCAGGUUCAAACGAUUCUCCUGCCUCAGCCUUCCGAGUAGCUGGGACUACAGGUGUGCACCACCAUGCCUGGCUAAUUUUUGUAGUUUUAGUAGAAAUGAGGUUUCGCCAUAUUGGCCAGGCUGUUCUUGAACUCCUGACCUUAAGUGAUCUGCCUGCUUUGGCCUCCCAAUGUGCUGGGAUUACAGGCUUCAACCACUGAGCCUGGCCUACUCCUUUGCUAUCUUAAUAAACUUGGUUUCAGCUUACUUUAUGGACUCGCCCUAAAUUCUUUCUUGUGCAAGGUCCAAGAACCUUCUCUUGGGGUCUGCAUCAGGACCCCUUUCUGCCCUUUCUGGUAACAGUACCAUAAUAACAAAUAUUAUCGAGCAUAUUUUCAUGUAAUUAUUUGCAACUUGUAUAUCUUCUUUGGUAGAGUGUCUGUUAGAAUAUUUUGUCUAUCUAAAAAUUGGGUUUGUUUUCUUAUUAUUGAAUUUUGAGAGUGUGUUAUAUGUUCUGGACACAAGCCCUUUAUCAGAGAUAUGGUUUGCAAAUAUUUUCUUCUAGUCUGUGACUUUUCUCUCUUAACAAUGUCUUUUGAAGAGCAGGUGUUUUAAAUUUUGAUGAAGUCAGAUGUAUCAAUUUAUGAUUUUAAUAAAUCAUGCUUUUAGCAUAGUAUUUAAGAUACUUAACCCAAGGUCACAAGAGUUUUCUUUUAGAAGUUUUAGUUUUAGGUUUUGCAUUUAGGUAUAUGAUCCAUUUUGAGUUAGUUUAUAUACAUUGUGCAAGGUAAGGACUGAGGUUUUUAAUUUUUGCAUAUAGAUUACCACUUGUGCCAACCUCACUGUUGUGAUGAUAUGAUAGAAAUCACUGUCUUUUCUCCACUGACUUGCUUUUGCAUCUUUGUAAAAAGUUGGUCAUGCCAAUGAAACUGACCCAAUUUUCCCAUAGAACUGAUGGGAAAAACUGUUUACAGUUUUGUUGUUGUUUUUUGUUUUUGUUUUUGUUUUUAAUGAACAUUGAAGUGGACUCUCCAGGUUUUAAAGCUUGAGAAACUUACAUUUGUCUUAUCUGAGUUUAUUUCUCAGGAAACCAGCUGUCAGGCCUCCCAGAUAGUAUCAGAAAGCUGAAGAUUUCCAGAUCGCUGCAUCCUAACAGCAAGGUGCCAGAACCCUGAUUCAACUACCUACUGCCUGUUGAGCAACUCCUACAUAAACUCCUAACUUUAUUGGUUACAGAGACAGAUUUUAGACUUGUCUCCCAUAUCCUGGCUGGCAUCACCAGCAAUAAAGCCUUUCUUCCUGGCAGUACUUGUUGUCUCAGUGAUUGGCUUUCUGUGUGGUGAGCAAUCAGACCUAAGCUGAAUCCCUGGCAUUCACCAACACAUAAAUGUGCAGUUCUGUUUCUGGACUCUCUCUUCUGCUUCAUUGAUCUGUUUUUCUAACUUUAUGCCAAAAUUGCACUAGUUUGAUUACUGUUCCUUUAUAAUAAGCUUUGAAAUAAUGUCAUAUUAGGCCUCCAACUUUGUUCUUCUUUUUGAAAACUGUUUUGGCUAUUUUAGGUCCUUGCAUUUCCAUAAAAGUAUUAGAAUCAGCUUAUCAAUUUCUCCAAAAAAAAAAAAAAAAGCCUACUGAGAUUUUGAUUGGGAUUGCACUGGAUUUAUAGACCAUUUUGGGGAGAACUGACAUCUUAACAAUAUUGAGUCUUCCUCCCAUGAACAAAGUAUAUUUCUUUAUUUGUUUAGGUCUUCUUUAAUUUUUCUCAACGAUGUUGUAUGGUUUUCAGUAUAUAGAUCUUUCAGAGUUUUGUCAGAUUAAUUCUUAAGUAUUUAAUAUUUUUGACCUAAUUGUAAAAGGUAUUAUUUCUUUCCGUUUCAAUUGCCAAUGGGUUAUUGCUAAUAUAUAGAAAUGCAAUUGAUUUUGCCUAUAACUUUGCUAAUAGUUCUAGUAGCUUUUUCAUGUGAAUUCCAUUGGCUAGUCUACAUAGCUCACUGACGCUCUGUUCAUUAAAAGAAUUUUUUCCCUCUGAGUUUCCUUUUAGGUAGCGUCUUUUGCUAUGAUUUCAAUUUCACUUUUUUCCCCUUCUUCAAUAGCUAAUCUGCUACUAAUCCUAUAGUGUUUUUUUCAUCUCAAUAUUGAACUUUCCAUCUGUAGAUGAUUUGAGUCUUUUCUAAAUCUUCCAUGUCUCUAUUUGACCUUUUAAACAUAUAGAAUACAGCUAUAGUAACUGUUUUAAUGUCCUUUUCUGUUUAUUCUACUGUCUGUGUCAGUUCUGGUUUGAUUUCAGUUUAUUGAUUAUUCUCUUCAUUAUGGCUAGUGUUUACCUCCUUCUUUUCAUGAUGAGUAAUUUUUUAUUUGAUGCCAGCCACUAUAAUUUUAUCUUGUUGGGUCUUGGGUUCUUUGCAAUCUUAUAAGUGUUCUUCAGCUUUGUUCUGCAAUACAGUUAAGAUACUUGGCAACACUUGAAUACUUAAAGUCUUGCUUUUAAGAUUUUUUAGGUGGUACUACAGCAGUGCUCAGUUUAGGCAUAAUUAUUCCCCACUACUAAGUUAAGACCCUUCUGUGUACUCUAUUUAUUGCUUCAUGAAUCAUGGUCUUAAAUGUGGCUGGUAAGAAUAGGUACUAUUUCUAGCUGUGUCCGAGUAUCAGACAUUGUUUCUUCUAAUCCACUCAGGUGGUUCUUUUGGCCUUGGGUAAUUUUCUGUCAUGCAUGCACAAAUCAAUACUCAGAAGAAUACUUAAGGAGGUCCCUCUGCAAAACCCUAGAACUCUGUGUGCACAAAUCUCUCCUCUCUGGGAACCUGCUUGUGAGUUCUCACUGCUGUGGUUUUUCCAACCUUCAACUCUGUCUCCCCAACUCAGGGAGGCCUUGGGGCUCCACCAGGGUUCCCUCUCCCUAUAUCUUAGCCUCAAAACUCUUUCACAGUAGUAAAUUUUGGCCACUGUAUGGAUGACAUUAUUUAUGUCUCAUCUCUUAAGUAUCAAAGUAUCAUUAUCCUUAAUUGCCUGGUGUCCAGUACCUUAAAAUUGCUAUUUAAUAUAUUUUGCUUUUUUUUUUUUUUCAGGGAGGAGGGUAAAUCCAAUCCAUCUUGAAUGAGCAUAUGUAUUAGUUUUUAUGCUCCUGAUAAAGACAUAGCUGAGGCUGAGCAAUUUACAAAAGAAAGAGGUUUAAUAGACUUAUAGUUCCUUAUGGCUGGGGAGGCCUCACAAUCAUGGCGGAAGGCAAGAAGGAGCAGGUCACAUCUUACGUGGAUGGCAGUAGGCAAAGAGUUUGUGCAGAGAAACUCACAUUUUAAAACCAUCAGAUCUCCUGAGACCCACGAGAACAGCACAAGAAACAGCACGGGAAAGACGUGCCCCCAUGAUUCAACCAUCUCCCACUGGGUCCCUCCAACAACAUGUGGGAAUUAUGGGAGCUACAAGAUGAGAUUUCGGUGGGGACACAGAGCCAAACCAUAUCAGGGUAGAAUGGUAUUAAAGAAAAAGAUUUUCUUACACUUAUUAAGGCAGUAAGAAAGAUUUAUUCAAGAUUAUUGCAAUAGGUAUCAAGACUGUGCAAUAGGAGACAGGAAAUGGUUGAGCUCAACUCUGAAUACAGCAAAAACCACUGGAGGUUUUUAGCCAGUGAGCAGAAUGGGAGGAGAAGAGUCAGUGGAUGGAAAAUUACUAAGAGGAGAAAUCAAAGGUGGGAGGAUUUUCCCUAAACUGACUUAGCAGGACUCUUGUUACAAUUGGACUAGGCAGGCUGAAGACAGGAUGCAAGGACAAAGCUUGUUGAAAAGAGGCCUCAGAGGAGCUCAUCUAAAAUUUGGUCAAGGGGAGGGUCUUUCUUGGUCCCUCCUCUUGUUCAAGGGAAAAAGAGACAUUCUUCUUUCCUUUGAACAAUAUAAGUCAAUUUCUCAUUUGGUGGCCUUUUUUUCAUUAAGGACAAGCUGAGCCCCCUGCUGAAACUUGGUAGCAGGGCAGCCAGUUGAGAAGAUUUCUAGAUGUCAAGGCAUCUUUAGAUGAUGGGGUGAGGACUGCAGUGGCCAUCCCAGAUCAUGGAUUUUCUGGUUUGCAGUUUGAAUGUCCUUGGUGAUGGCAUAGACAUCAGUGUCACAGUCAUGGUUAUUUUUCCGAGCAGAGUGUAGAAGUGUCCAACUUCAUCUUGAAGGGCUUCUUUAGACAGUCACAAUAAAGAUCUGGGAAGUUAGGUUUUAGUUCUCAGUGAUGCCAAAUCAGGACAGUGGGAGAAAAAUUAAAAACCUCAGUUUGGAGAGUGGUAGCCAGAUAGUAAAGGGAACUAGAAGAACUGAGAAUUUGGUAAGGACUGACAAGCUGUGCAUGAUGACAGGAUCCCGUUCAAUUUACAAGUAGAUAACAAAACCUGAAAGACAAGUACAGGACCAGAAUAAUAACCCAUAAGAAGGUGCUAUAGUUUUUAUAAAAUAUCUUUCUACAGUCAUCCCCCUUUUUUGAUCCAAAUUAACCAAAGUAAGAUUAUUCUUGUUUACAAAAUAAGUCUUGUCUCAUUAUAUUUGACUUACUUAUUUGCAUAAUUGCAGCAAGAAUGGCAACUGACCAGGUAGGCUUAUUUAAGUUUGCAUUGCUGGAACUUUUUACAAGUAAUCUCAGAUUAUGCUUUCAAGAGUUCUUGAAGCUAUAAAGCCAAGUCAAGCACCACCAGGCCUUAUCUGCAAUGCCUAGAGAUUCAGAUGGGUUCUUCUCUUCUUGAGGUCCUAAAAACAUCCUGAGUUUCUUUGGCCUGCCAGAAAGUCACCUUCCUGACUCACCUGUAAGGCUGGGAACUCCAUAAUCCAGGUACCAGGCAGACUUUCCGGGAGGGCUUCAUAUGCAUUGGCUCCAUAAAGUUAACCUUAGUUCCUCAAAACUGUCUGUUCAUAUGUGAUUUUAUGUCUUAUUCUCAGUUGGAAAUGCAGAAAUCACCUGUCUUCUGCGUCGAUCAGGCUGGGAGCUGCAGACCGGAGCUGUUCCUAUUCGGCCAUCUUGGAAUGGACCCCCAUGUCUUAUUCUCAAAUAAAACAUUUUGGUCAAAGCCUUGAUUAUCUAAUCAAUUUUUAAAAUUAUGUUCUGUUACAAAAAGGACAGAUUCUUAUCGAACCCAUAUAAAAUAGUAUAUCACCAUUGAUACGGUUUGGAUCUGUGUCCCCACUCAAAUCUGAUGUUCAAUUGUAAUCUCCCAGUGUUAGAGGUGAG